GAGCUCUCAGUUCAGCAGCACUUAUACUAAAAGUGGAAUGUUACAGAGAAGACUAGCACGGCCCCUGCAUGAUGGUGACACACAAAUCUGAGAAGGGUUUCACAUUUUU
ensembl:snRNA U6 U6 spliceosomal RNA